rnacentral:rRNA from 1 species
CAUGAAGCUGGAAUCGCUAGUAAUCGCGGAUCAGAAUGCCGCGGUGAAUACGUUCCCGGGUCUUGUACACACCGCCCGUCACACCAUGGGAGUCGGAAAUGCCCGAAGUCUGUGACCCAACCGGAAGGAAGGAGCAGCCGAAGGCAGGUCUGAUGACUGGGGUGAAGUCGUAACAAGGUAGC